CACGGAUCCAGAGUUUGAUCAUGGCUCAGGAUGAACGCUAGCGGCAGGCUUAACACAUGCAAGUCGAGGGGCAGCGGGUUGUAGCAAUACAAUGCCGGCGACCGGCGAAAGGGUGCGUAACGCGUGAACAAUCUGCCCGUAUCCGGGACAUAAGCGAUGGAAACGUCGUCUAAUUUCCCAUAACAACAGGGGCCGCAUGACAUCUGUUUGAAAGAUCCGUCGGAUACGGAUGAGUUCGCGAGACAUUAGCUAGUCGGCGUGGUAACGGCACACCGAGGCGACGAUGUCUAGGGGUUCUGAGAGGAAGGUCCCCCACACUGGAACUGAGACACGGUCCAGACUCCUACGGGAGGCAGCAGUGAGGAAUAUUGGUCAAUGGGCGCAAGCCUGAACCAGCCAUGCCGCGUGCAGGAAUGAGGCCCUAUGGGUCGUAAACUGCUUUUGUGGUGGAGCAAUAAGACGUACGCGUACGUCGAUGAGAGUACAUCACGAAUAAGCAUCGGCUAACUCCGUGCCAGCAGCCGCGGUAAUACGGAGGAUGCAAGCGUUAUCCGGAUUUAUUGGGUUUAAAGGGUGCGUAGGCUGUUCGGAAAGUCAGGGGUGAAAGCCCGGCGCCUAACGCCGGAACUGCCUUUGAUACUUUCGAGCUGGAAUACGGAUGCCGUGGGAGGAAUGAGUAGUGUAGCGGUGAAAUGCAUAGAUAUUACUCAGAACACCGAUUGCGAAGGCAUCUCACGAAUCCGUCAUUGACGCUGAGGCACGAAAGCGUGGGGAUCAAACAGGAUUAGAUACCCUGGUAGUCCACGCAGUAGACGAUGAUAACUAACCGUCGGCGAUACACAGUCGGUGGCCAAGCGAAGGCGAUAAGUUAUCCACCUGGGGAGUACGUUCGCAAGGUUGAAACUCAAAGGAAUUGACGGGGGCCCGCACAAGAGGAGGAGCAUGUGGUUUAAUUCGGUGAUACGCGAGGAACCUUACCCGGGCUUGAACGUAGGACGGCGGCGCAGGAGACUGCGCUUCCCUUCGGGGCGUCUUGCGAGGUGCUGCAUGGUUGUCGUCAGCUCGUGCCGUGAGGUGUUAGGUUAAGUCCUGCAACGAGCGCAACCCUUACCUCCAGUUACCAGCACGUCGUGGUGGGGACUCUGGAGGAACUGCCUACGCAAGUAGAGAGGAAGGUGGGGAUGACGUCAAAUCAGCACGGCCCUUAUGUCCGGGGCUACACACGUGCUACAAUGGCGCGCACAGAAGGCAGCGACCCUGCGAGGGGGAGCGAAUCCCGAAAGCGCGUCUCAGUUCGGAUCGGAGUCUGGAACCCGACUCUGUGAAGUUGGAUUCGCUAGUAAUCGCGCAUCAGCCAUGACGCGGUGAAUACGUUCCCGGGCCUUGUACACACCGCCCGUCACACCACGGAAGUCGUUCACACCCGAAGUCCGGAAACGGCCUAAGGCGGGGGCGAUGACUGGGGUGAAGUCGUAACAAGGUAGCCGUAAGCUUCAC
rnacentral:rRNA from 1 species